GCCUGUGAUGUUACAAUCAGAUAUUUGCACAACCAGUUGCAGCUUCAUGUAACUGGUUGUAUGAGACUUUUUUCAAAAUAUGACGUGAUCUUUUUAUAUCACAAGUUUGCAGUUUCAGCAGGGAUUACAAUAAACAAGUAUUUAUUAUUGUUUAGGGAUGGCAAGAUUUUGUGAACCAGAGGCACCUCCACAUAUGCACCUGCGGCACUUCUGCAGCCUCAACAGCACGGAAAAGUACCCGAUGUGCAUGCUGUGACAAGCUGCUGUAGGUAUGGCUGAACCUGGAGAAGAAGUGUAAGCUGACCAUGCUAUGUUGCUGAUCUGCGCUGAUCUCCACAUCCAAGUUGGUCCCGCGACAGUUGGGCACCAUUGUGCCUUGCUUCAUUGACAAGGUGAUAUAAUAUGGUGCCCUGCUCGCUCUCACCCAAGCAACCCACUUCAGCGGCCUUCUCUCGGCAGACUGGAUGCAUCGAAAUACCGUUAGAAGGUCCAAUAAACAGUGCUUGGGACAUUUAUGACAUGCUUUUUUUUAGGCCGGAUGACUUCAGGCUUAAUGAAAGCUCAAGUUGGUGUACAGAAAUACCUACGUAAAGUAUACUUGUCUUUUUCACUUACAAGUACAUGCCAAUACUUUGCCUGACAUUUUUCACCCCAAAAUUACGCUUUACUGUGGAUUUGUGAACAAACCAUUACAACAAAAAGCACUGCAUUAAAACGAGUACAAGUAAUCGAACAAAUACUAAAUCUGCAAGAAUUACAUUUGCAUACUAGUAGUAAAUAUGAAAAUGAGGUACAGUCUUCUUCAGGGUGCAUUUUCUUGUAGGUCAUACAUAGAGAACGUACUCGUGGGUCAUACAAAACUUGUUCAUGAUGUAUCACAUCAGUGUUGGUAGUGCUAAUCAAUUUAUGCCGAAAAUUGUGUUUAUCUUCGUAUCAAGCAAUGUACCAGGCAAACCUACAUGUGAAAGUGGCAUUCUUGUUGCAAACAUAAUGCAGAUCUACUUCUCUUCAAUGCUGAUCGCAAAUACACAAAUGUACAAAAUAGGUUUAAGAGUAAAUUAUAUUAAGCAACAUCAAUCCAUUCUGAAAGGACCAGGUAUGAAUGCAGCAAAAUAUAGGUCUGAACAGGGGCAAACAGGUCUGGGUUAGAUAGGACGGGAUUAAACGGGUCAGGAUUAAACAGGAUUUAAACGGGUCAGGAUCAAACAGGAUUUAAACGGGUCAGGUUUAAACAGGAAUAAACAGCAUUUAAACAGG